UAAGUAAGAUGUUUUAAUUUUUUAUACUAGUUUCUUACUUUCCUUAUUUCCAAAACAGUGGGGCACAAAACCGGGUGCAACCGUGCGAGUGCCAUGAAACUUACCUCGAUUUAACAACAAAGAUUAAAUUCUUUUGACUUAACAUGUAAUUUUGGUUCCACUUUUACUCCAUUCUUUACUUCAAUCAAUUUUUACGAUCUUGUUUCUUUAACAACCGCCCUCAAUCUUCUCUCUUAAUAAUUUUCUCUCUCCUCUCUUCAAUUAACCAUGAAUUCAGACGGAGAAAAGCAUGUAGAAUCAACCCUUUCUGCUAUUAAUUCAGACAAUAAAAAAGGAGAUCAUAUUUUACCGUUGACUAAAAAAAAGAGGGGUCGUCCAUCGAAAAAGGCGGCAGAAAGCGCCGGAAAACCGCCGGAAAAUAACCCCACCGAUGAUCAUCAAGAGGCGAAAGCUGGGAAGUUAUUGCCUCUCAAGAAACGAGGUCGAAAACCGAAGCAACAAAAUAAUGGAGGAGAGAGAGAUAUUAAUGAUUGUGGGACCCGAAAAGGGAAGGGGAAAAACUCAAAGAUUGAUGAAAGUGAUAUGGGUUUUAAUGGAGGAGUGAAGAUUGAAGAUGGGUUCUUGAGAAGUAGUUCAGGAGAUGAUGUUUCUGGGGAGAAAUUGGAAUGCACAGAAGAUGUUUGUGAAAAUGCGUCAGAGAAAAAGAGUAGUAAUAUUGGCAGAGUUACAAGGGGUAUGGGUGCACACCGGGAACCAAUACAACGGAAGAGGGGGAAGAGGAAAGAUGAUGAUGGGAAUGAAAUUGGUGGGAGUACUUGUCAUCAGUGUAAGAGAAAUGAUAAGGGAAGAGUUGUUCUCUGUAAUAAAUGUAACUGGAAGAAAUUUUGCAUUCCUUGUAUUACUAAUUGGUAUCCUGAUAAGACAGAGGAGUACUUUGCUGAAUCGUGCCCGGUUUGUCGUGGGAAUUGCAAUUGUAAGGCUUGUUUGAGGUUAGAAGGUGCAAUUAAAAAAACGUUAGAGAAAGAAAAGUUGAAGAUUAGUGAGGAUGAUAGAAGGAAGCACUCUUUGUAUAUGUUGCAAGCAGUUUUUCCUUACUUGAAGCAGUUUAAUGAGGAGCAGAUGAUGGAGAAAGAGAUCGAGGCUCGAAUUCAAGGUGUGUCACCAGCUGAGGUAAAUGUAGAACAUGUUGAUUGCCCUCUUGAUGAACGUAUGUUUUGUAAUAAUUGUAGGACUUCGAUUGUUGAUAUGCAUAGAAGUUGUCCGCAAUGUUGUUAUGAUUUAUGUCUUGUCUGUUGUCGGGAAGUUCGAGAUGGUAGCCUUAGAGGGGUUGUUGAAGAGGUGGUGGUGGAAUUUGUCGAUAGAGGGUAUCCGUAUUUGCAUGGAGAAGACCCUGUACCUGUGAAUAAUGAGAAUCUUCGAGAUGGUAGUAGUGUGGAUGCGGAUGGUUCAGAACCUUUGAAAAGUGAGAACAUUGUUAAUGAUGUUAGCAUGAAUGCUGGUUCAGAAACUUCGAAGAAUGAGAACAUUCCUGAUGUUGUUAGCAUGGAUGCUGGUUCAGAACUUUUGAGAAAAGAUAAUGUUUCUGAUCGACCGGCUUCGUUAGAUUGGAAAUCAAAUAGGGACGGUAGCAUACCUUGUCCCCCAGGGACACUUGGGGGGUGUGGCAAUGGGGUGCUGCACUUAAAGCAUAUGUUCCCAGUAGAUGUUUUGCAAUUAACGGAAACGGUAGAAGAAGUGCUUGGAACUUGCAACAUUAAUAGUAAACAUGUAAUUAGCUCACAAGACUGCUCCUGCACCAGGUCUGUGGGUAAUGAAGGUUUUGAAACUGGUAAUUCAAGGAAAGCAGCCUCCCGAGAAGAUUCUGAUGACAAUUAUUUGUACUGCCCCGCUGCCAUUGACAUAAAAAAUGAAGAUUUAGAACAUUUCCAAUGGCAUUGGGCCAGGGCUGAGCCUAUCAUCGUCAGAAACGUACUCGAGACUACAAGUGGUUUAAGUUGGGAGCCAAUGGUCAUGUGGCGUGCUGUUCGCCAGUUGGAACAUCCGAAGCAUGCUAGGAUAUUGAAUGUAAGGGCUAUCAAUUGCCUUAAUUGGUGUGAGUUAGAUGUCAAUAUUCAUAAAUUCUUUACUGGGUAUACAAAGUGUCAGUUUGAUCCCUACAUGUGGCCUUUGCUAUUGAAAUUGAAGGACUGGCCGCCAUCUACUGAAUUUGAUGCGAAUUUGCCUAGGCAUGGUGCUGAGUUUAUCCGGGCUUUGCCAUUUAAAGAGUACACACAUCCCCGUGAUGGCGUUCUUAAUCUUGCUUCCAGGUUGCCGGACAAGUCCCUGAAGCCAGAUCUGGGGCCUAAGACUUAUAUUGCUUAUGGGAUUGUAGAAGAGCUAGGGCGAGGAGAUUCAGUGACUAAACUGCACUGCGACAUGUCUGAUGCAGUGAACAUUUUGACACAUACAGCAGAAGUGAAGCUCAAUGCUCAAGAACUCCGGAGAAUCAAGCGAUUGAAGCAGAAGCAUUUUGCCCAAGAUCUGGAAGAAAUAUAUGGCGAUAGUCCAAUUGCAAACGCCAAUACGCAUGAGACUGAUUUGGCAGGUGGUCAGUCGACUAAUUCUGCUGUAGAAUUUCCUAGUAAUUGCCAGUCUUCUGCAAUCCCAUUGAAUUGUCAUGGACUGGGCAAUGUAACUCAAAACGGCAGAGAACAGCUUGCUAUGGUUGAUGGUGAAUUUGGUGUACCAUAUCGCAAGUGCAUUGAUGAUUCCAGUGGAAAAGAGCUUCAACCUGGUCAUUUCAUGAUGAAGCAAGAUCUUUUGAAUGUACAGGAGCUGGAAGAUAGUAAAACAUCUCUUCCAAAGGAUACAAAUUCAGGAGCAGAAUCUGUUGAGCCUGUGUGCACAGAUAAGCUAUGUGAUGGCCUUAUAGCCGAGGAAAAAUUAAAUGUUGAUGAUGGAAUUACUGAUGGACCGAGAAAAGAUAUUUCUCAUUCUGAAAAUCACGAUGAAAGUGGUCUCAACACAGAAAUUAAGAAGCAAUUUGCUGAUAAAGGAGAAAAUUAUAGCAACAAAGAAAGUCUUAGGUUGCCACUGGUGGAUGAAGUGAACGAUGAUGUGGCUGAAGAGGUUAAGCCUGCUGCUGGGAAACGGAGAGGUCGAAAAAGGAAAAGAGGAGUUGUUAAGGUAAGUUUGGAGAGGAAGUCUUGUAGAACAAUGAGGGGGACCGAUACAUCCAGUCCCCAGAUUGAAAUGAAAUCUUGUGGAAGUGAGGGAGACAGUGAGCCAGAUUUACUGACUGCACAACCAAGUAGUGAGGGAAAGUUAGAUGAAAUGUUAGAAGUUUCAGAAUCUUUGGAGGGUGGUGCUUUAUGGGAUAUAUUUCGGAGACAGGAUAGUCCUAAGCUACAAGAGUAUCUUAAGAGGCAUUUUAAGGAAUUCAGGCACAUAUAUGGGUCCCUUGUGAAGCAGGUUGUGCAUCCGAUUCAUGAUCAAACAUUUUACUUGACUGAAGAGCACAAAAGGAAGCUCAAGGAGGAAUAUGGUGUUGAGCCGUGGACAUUUGUACAAAAGCUUGGAGAAGCUGUCUUUAUUCCUGCUGGUUGUCCACAUCAGGUUCGCAAUUUGAAGUCCUGCAUUAAGGUCGCAUUGGAUUUUGUCUCACCUGAAAAUGUUCCAGAAUGUAUGCGUUUGACUGAAGAGUUCCGAGUCCUUCCCCCCAAUCACAGGGCAAAAGAGGAUAAAUUAGAGAUAAAGAAGAUGACCUUUUAUGCUGUAGAGAAGGCUCUUAAGGAUUUGAAGUCCUGACUUUCCUUAUCGAGGAAGAUGAAACUUGAUUUCAGAUUCACUUUUCUUAGUUGUACCGGAGGAUGCUGAUUUAUGAGCUGGUUUUCAUGUCGAUGGUGGCUGUGUUUGGGUCUCGUGUUGAAUGGAUGAAUUGGCCCGUUUGUUUUUAAAAUUCCACAUCUAUUUCGUGGUUCGCAUUAUGCACAAGAUUCAAGGCGUGUGCACUUUGAUCCACGCAUCCUUGACAGUAGCAACCCAGGUGUAUGGAUGAACUACAAUACUCUCUAUCGUAAAGCAGGAGUCUUUGAAGCUGAUUCAUGUCAGCUUCUACAAAGCCCUCUGAACUAGAAAUUGCCUCCAGCAGUAGAAGAUCCAAUGAGGGUUCUCACUUCUGUUUCUCAGGGAGCUUUCCAAAUCAUCAAUUGAAACUCUCAAAUGGAUAGACUCUCGUCUCAUUGAACCCAAAGUGAUGCAACGACCAAGCAUCGGGAACAAGACUUCCAGAAAAGAAAUCUAGGUGGUAUUUCCACAAGAGACACCGCCUAAAACCUCCCAAAGGAUGCUUACAACAUGCAAACAUCAAAAUAAACAUAAAGAGGAAAAAGGAGCACAAAGGAUUAAAGGAACUCAUGUGGAUGUUCCGUUGUGGCCAAUACCUUCUCCCAAGGUCUAACCAAGAACACAUUCUUGAGACCUGUCACGAGGUGGAAGACAAACACCACAAAAAAAUGAAUUAGCUCGAAAACGUUCUCAAAAGAUCCACAAUACAUUGAAUCUUCAAGAACAGUAGUCUCCAAUUGAAGAAGAAGAGCAACCCUCGUCCUAAUUUUAAUCGAAACGGACGAAGAAUAACCCAACACCCCCCAAUGAACGGAAACCUCGACUUGGAUCCACAACUCAAGCCACCCAAGCCGGACACCGAAGCCAAGCGCACACACGCCACCGAAGCGGUCGAUUUUCAACGCCAACCAUAGAGAUGAGAGAGGAAGAUAGUAAGUAGAUUUAGAGAAAGAGACAAACAAGGAGCUACAAAAAGAGAAGUCUGAUUGAGGACAAGAGAGAAAUGACUUAAUUGACAAAUCUAUACUAAUAUAUUAAAAGGCGCUCCUAAGCAAGGAGCGAUGCCACGUGGCGUCUUCGCUUGGAGUAUUCUAUGCUAUGUAAUCGACAUUCUAAAAAAACAAAAAUUGCAUUAUGUAAGAUUCGAUCCCGAGAUCACAAGCAUAUAUACUAAUGUGUUAACCACAAAA